AGGAACUUUUUAGGCACAAAUGAGGAAAUAACAUAGAAAGACUUGGAGGCUUCGCCCACAUAAGGCAGGAGAUCACUCCAAGUAAACGGACCUCCCUGAUGGUGGCUUCCCCCGUUCCCUGUAACUGCCUGUGACUGAUGAGCCAUCAGCAGGGAUGGGAGGGAUGGAGCCUCGGACAUCAUUUACUCACUUCUGCUUGUUAAAUAACUCAGGACCUGGGGCCGCUUCUCAGGGCUGGGGCUGAGUCUCCGUGCCCACCGUGGUGCUGGGCAUAUUUGCUGUCUCUGGGGAGACAGAUGCGAAGCAGAAAGGCAGAAGGAAAAGCUGUCAGCCCAGGCGCUCCUGCCAUCCCACGCCGGCCUGCAGGCCACCGCCCUCUGCCCAUCCCGGAAGGACGUGUUUUCCUCUUAAAUACCUGAGUCAAGGGGCUGGGGUGCAUCUUUCCCUCCGCCCUCUUGCUGAGCUGCGUGGCUGCAUUGAGGGGAUUUUUCUGUCUCUGCCAUUAAACAAAUCCUGGCAGGCUAAUUAGCUGUGGGAAGUUUCAGGUGCUUUCAUUUUCAAAAGAAGUCAAAACAAGCACAUAUUAUGCUUGGAACAAGCCUAGCUUUCUAAUGAAAAGAGACUGCAACUGGAUCAUCAAACAAACGUAAACAAAUAGAUCAAUAAAUGUGCAUGCAUACACGUGUUCACAGAGCACAAUUUGAAGGUGAAACGUGAAAUGAGAGCCCGUACAGAGGUGUCAGCCAUGAGAUGUGCAGGGGCCAAGGGUGCAGGGCCAGGGUCAGGAGGAUGUGCAGUGGAGCCGGGUUAACGUUACUGCCGCGCCCUAAGAAACGGGGAGGGGAGGGGAGGCAGGUCUGGAACCACCUAGGAGGCAGAUUUGGUUGAUUUGUUUCAGGAAUCCUUUCUGCCUUGUGAUUUAGGAGUUAACGUUUCCUUCUCCUCUUUCUGCUCCUCCUUCCUCCAAUAAAGUGCCUGACCUUCAUCAGUGCACACACAGGUGGCACUGGCUCAGGGCCCAUCGAGGGCCAGUGUCCUGGGCCCUGCAGGGCAUGUCUGUGGGAGGGCCACUAGGGUCAGGGGACAGGGCCGUGGGGAAAAUCUGCCCCGUGGAUGGAUUUGACCGCAGCCACGCUGUCCUUCUGGGGAAUAAAGGAGGAGACUUCCCUUGUCCCUGGGACAGCAGGCGCUUCCCCAGGUGGUGGCCCCUCAAGGGCUCCUCCCCAGCACGCUUCCUGCCCUCCCACUGCUCUGAGUCAAGUUCCUCCCGCUCACCUGCUGACUUCAUUCCUGGUCCCCUCAUCGUCAUGGGCGGGGCCUUCCUGAGCUGCUCCCUUAACACUGAGGAGCUUGACCAGCCACAGGGGCCUGGCCCUCUCCAGGGUGCUGAAACCUGCUGCCGCUUCCUGGGUGGGGACUGCGUGGCUGUCCCAGGAUAAGCAGAUGUGGGACCCCGUGGCAGAACUACAGUUGUUUUGAUGUUUCCAUCAUGCCCUAAAUCCAGCCAGAAGCAGCUUGAAGAUACCUGGUGCGCAAUGUCCUGCCGAUAGCCGGCGGCUGAGCAGACGCCUGGGAGAGAGCAUCUUUAUCCUGGAUGGGCUCAGAGGACCUUCAGAGUCCAACGCACACCUCUCCAGAAUCCAUUCAGGCGUCUGCAGGCUGGAGACUGAGGGCAGAGGAAACAACGCCCGUGGGAUCAUCACCCGGCUCAGCAAAUGCUCAUCAAUCCUUCUGCACUCGGCACUGCGCUGGGCCCCUGGGGCUUUAGAGAGGGUGAGAUGUGGUCUUUGAAUCUGGAGAGUCAUCGCGUAGUUGUGAGCCACACUACAGCUCCUCAGCAGAGGAACAGUGAGGACGCAACAUCAAACAGAAGAAUCUUGAAGACGAGGCAAGGGCAUUGAGGUGCUGCCACCGCCUCCGGCCGGCUCUUGCCGCAGCUGAUAAACGUGCAGUAUUGGCGUUGUCGGGAACUGGCUUUCUGGGGCCUCUGUCACUUCCCGUCUCUGCAGAGCUUGUGAUUGAGCCUGUUCACAGGACACCUUCGUGCUGGACACAGCUUCCUGUCGUGAUCCAGAAACUCACUGAAUUUAAUCUAAGAUUGCUAACAAGAGUUUCCUGGGGCUUUGGAGGGGACCAUCAGGAGUGGUGCUGCUCCCGGAGAAAUAAGAAAACUGUGUCAGUCAGGGCUCAGCUUCAGCUUGAAGUGGCAGAAAUGCAGCUCACACUGGUGUAGGUCAGGGAAGUCCACAUGAAGCGGGGAGAGCAAGGUGUGACUGGGUCUCUGUGAGGCUGGAAUAGGGAGCGGGAGCUCAGCAUGGUGCUCUUGCGUCUUUCUCUGUGCAAACUUUGCUUCCUCCACUCACACUGGCUGAGCCUCACACUGACCACUGUGGACCCCAUUCCUCUGGCAUAACAGCUACGUGGGUAACAGACUCCAGCAUUCCCUCCAUGACGCCUGUUCACUGUCCUUGUAGAUUUCGAAAGGGCUAGAAGAGAAGAAUGUGAAUGUUCCCCGCAUAAAGGAAAGGUAAAUAUUUGGGGUGGCAGGUAUCACAAGUGUCUUGAUUUGGGGUGGCAGGUAUCACAAGCGUCACAAGUGAUCUUGAUUUGAUCACUACACAUUAUAUGCCUGCACCCCGAAUAUGUACAUCUAUUAUGUAUCAAUAAACAGUCUUGGGGAGAA